GGUUAAGCGACUAAGCGUACACGGUGGAUGCCCUGGCAGUCAGAGGCGAUGAAGGACGUGCUAAUCUGCGAUAAGCGUCGGUGAGGUGAUAUGAACCGUUAUAACCGGCGAUUUCCGAAUGGGGAAACCCAGUGUGUUUCGACACACUAUCAUUAACUGAAUCCAUAGGUUAAUGAGGCGAACCGGGGGAACUGAAACAUCUAAGUACCCCGAGGAAAAGAAAUCAACCGAGAUUCCCCCAGUAGCGGCGAGCGAACGGGGAGGAGCCCAGAGCCUGAAUCAGUGUGUGUGUUAGUGGAAGCGUCUGGAAAGGCGCGCGAUACAGGGUGACAGCCCCGUACACAAAAAUGCACAUAUUGUGAGCUCGAUGAGUAGGGCGGGACACGUGGUAUCCUGUCUGAAUAUGGGGGGACCAUCCUCCAAGGCUAAAUACUCCUGACUGACCGAUAGUGAACCAGUACCGUGAGGGAAAGGCGAAAAGAACCCCGGCGAGGGGAGUGAAAAAGAACCUGAAACCGUGUACGUACAAGCAGUGGGAGCCUCUUAAUGGGGUGACUGCGUACCUUUUGUAUAAUGGGUCAGCGACUUAUAUUCUGUAGCAAGGUUAACCGAAUAGGGGAGCCGAAGGGAAACCGAGUCUUAACUGGGCGUUAAGUUGCAGGGUAUAGACCCGAAACCCGGUGAUCUAGCCAUGGGCAGGUUGAAGGUUGGGUAACACUAACUGGAGGACCGAACCGACUAAUGUUGAAAAAUUAGCGGAUGACUUGUGGCUGGGGGUGAAAGGCCAAUCAAACCGGGAGAUAGCUGGUUCUCCCCGAAAGCUAUUUAGGUAGCGCCUCGUGAAUUCAUCUCCGGGGGUAGAGCACUGUUUCGGCAAGGGGGUCAUCCCGACUUACCAACCCGAUGCAAACUGCGAAUACCGGAGAAUGUUAUCACGGGAGACACACGGCGGGUGCUAACGUCCGUCGUGAAGAGGGAAACAACCCAGACCGCCAGCUAAGGUCCCAAAGUCAUGGUUAAGUGGGAAACGAUGUGGGAAGGCCCAGACAGCCAGGAUGUUGGCUUAGAAGCAGCCAUCAUUUAAAGAAAGCGUAAUAGCUCACUGGUCGAGUCGGCCUGCGCGGAAGAUGUAACGGGGCUAAACCAUGCACCGAAGCUGCGGCAGCGACACUAUGUGUUGUUGGGUAGGGGAGCGUUCUGUAAGCCUGUGAAGGUGUACUGUGAGGUAUGCUGGAGGUAUCAGAAGUGCGAAUGCUGACAUAAGUAACGAUAAAGCGGGUGAAAAGCCCGCUCGCCGGAAGACCAAGGGUUCCUGUCCAACGUUAAUCGGGGCAGGGUGAGUCGACCCCUAAGGCGAGGCCGAAAGGCGUAGUCGAUGGGAAACAGGUUAAUAUUCCUGUACUUGGUGUUACUGCGAAGGGGGGGACGGAGAAGGCUAUGUUGGCCGGGCGACGGUUGUCCCGGUUUAAGCGUGUAGGCUGGUUUUCCAGGCAAAUCCGGAAAAUCAAGGCUGAGGCGUGAUGACGAGGCACUACGGUGCUGAAGCGACAAAUGCCCUGCUUCCAGGAAAAGCCUCUAAGCAUCAGGUAACAUCAAAUCGUACCCCAAACCGACACAGGUGGUCAGGUAGAGAAUACCAAGGCGCUUGAGAGAACUCGGGUGAAGGAACUAGGCAAAAUGGUGCCGUAACUUCGGGAGAAGGCACGCUGAUAUGUAGGUGAAGCGACUUGCUCGUGGAGCUGAAAUCAGUCGAAGAUACCAGCUGGCUGCAACUGUUUAUUAAAAACACAGCACUGUGCAAACACGAAAGUGGACGUAUACGGUGUGACGCCUGCCCGGUGCCGGAAGGUUAAUUGAUGGGGUUAGCGGUAACGCGAAGCUCUUGAUCGAAGCCCCGGUAAACGGCGGCCGUAACUAUAACGGUCCUAAGGUAGCGAAAUUCCUUGUCGGGUAAGUUCCGACCUGCACGAAUGGCGUAAUGAUGGCCAGGCUGUCUCCACCCGAGACUCAGUGAAAUUGAACUCGCUGUGAAGAUGCAGUGUACCCGCGGCAAGACGGAAAGACCCCGUGAACCUUUACUAUAGCUUGACACUGAACAUUGAGCCUUGAUGUGUAGGAUAGGUGGGAGGCUUUGAAGUGUGGACGCCAGUCUGCAUGGAGCCGACCUUGAAAUACCACCCUUUAAUGUUUGAUGUUCUAACGUGGGCCCCUUACCGGGGUUGCGGACAGUGUCUGGUGGGUAGUUUGACUGGGGCGGUCUCCUCCUAAAGAGUAACGGAGGAGCACGAAGGUUGGCUAAUCCUGGUCGGACAUCAGGAGGUUAGUGCAAUGGCAUAAGCCAGCUUGACUGCGAGCGUGACGGCGCGAGCAGGUGCGAAAGCAGGUCAUAGUGAUCCGGUGGUUCUGAAUGGAAGGGCCAUCGCUCAACGGAUAAAAGGUACUCCGGGGAUAACAGGCUGAUACCGCCCAAGAGUUCAUAUCGACGGCGGUGUUUGGCACCUCGAUGUCGGCUCAUCACAUCCUGGGGCUGAAGUAGGUCCCAAGGGUAUGGCUGUUCGCCAUUUAAAGUGGUACGCGAGCUGGGUUUAGAACGUCGUGAGACAGUUCGGUCCCUAUCUGCCGUGGGCGCUGGAGAACUGAGGGGGGCUGCUCCUAGUACGAGAGGACCGGAGUGGACGCAUCACUGGUGUUCGGGUUGUCAUGCCAAUGGCACUGCCCGGUAGCUAAAUGCGGAAGAGAUAAGUGCUGAAAGCAUCUAAGCACGAAACUUGCCCCGAGAUGAGUUCUCCCUGACUCCUUGAGAGUCCUGAAGGAACGUUGAAGACGACGACGUUGAUAGGCCGGGUGUGUAAGCGCAGCGAUGCGUUGAGCUAACCGGUACUAAUGAACCGUGAGGCUUAACCUU
rnacentral:rRNA from 1 species